UUGUUAAUAGCACAAAUAUAUGCAUUUGAUUGUAAAUCAAAUUAUGGAAAAAUAAAUCCUUAACAAA
rnacentral:tRNA from 1 species